GUAACCUGCCCCAGUGCACAGGUGAGGUGUCCGGAGGGGGCAUGUAACCUGCCCCAGUGCACAGGUGAGGUGUCCGGAGGGGGCACGGAGCCUGCCCCAGUGCACAGGUGAGGCCUCCGGAGGGGGCACAGAGCCUGCCCCAGUGCACAGGUGAGGCCUCCGGAGGGGGCUUGGAGCCUGCCCCGUGCACAAGUGAGGUGUCCGGAGGGGGCACGGAGCCUGCCCCGGUGCACAGGUGAGGCGUCUGGAGGGGGCACAGAGCCUGCCCCGGUGCACAGGUGAGGUGUCCGGAGGGGGCACAGAGCCUGCCCCGGUGCACAGGUGAGGCGUCCGGAGGGGGCACAGAGCCUGCCCCGGUGCACAGGUGAGGCCUCCAGAGGGGGCUUGGAGCCUGCCCCGUGCACAGGUGAGGUGUCUGGAGGGGGCAUGGAGCCUGCCCCGUGCACAGGUGAGGUGUCCGGAGGGGGCAUGGAGCCUGCCCCGGUGCACAGGUGAGGCCUCCAGAGGGGGCUUGGAGCCUGCCCCGUGCACAGGUGAGGUGUCCGGAGGGGGCAUGGAGCCUGCCCCGUGCACAGGUGAGGCGUCCGGAGGGGGCACAGAGCCUGCCCCAGUGCACAGGUGAGGCGUCCCGAGGGGGCACGGAGCCUGCCCCAGUACACACUUG